AUUUUUUCUAAAUCGUUAAACCUAAAAUCUCUCAAAUACAAUUUUUCCUUCUCUUUUUCCUUCCUCUCCAUCAUCGCCUCCUUAAUCUCCUGCCCUAACUCGCUGCUCGACUCAUCCUCCAACAAUUCCGUUUCAAUAACUACCUCAGAUUCCGUGCUCUUUUUACUCUUUUCCUCCAAUGCUCGAAUCAUGAAAAGUCCGCUUCUUCUCGAUUUUGCAUUAAUUGCGGUCGUGGGUUUGCCGAUAGUUGUCACCGGUGGCGGCUUGAAUUGUAAGAAUGUGUUUAGUUGUUUGAUUAUCAACGGCGGUGAAGUCGUCGGUGUGAAAUUGAGCGUGGGAGAAGAAGCGACGGCCAUGUUUUAGUGGAUAAAGAGGAGAAGGAAUUUUCAUUAGAUGCGUAACAUGCGUUUAGAGUAUCCACAACUCUGAAUUAUCCUCAACAAAAGCAGAGAAAAUAUAAUUGUUAACUGAUCCCUAAACAUAGGUUUUGAUUGCAAGGUUCAAACGGAUAUGCAACUGCUCUCUGAAAUUGUUUGAAAAAUAGUAACCGCUCCUCAUCAACAGUUACUGCCGCUCACUACCCAUUGCCGCUGCUCACCACCCAUCGCUGUUGCUGCUCUUCAACAACUUUAACGGCGGCGGAGACCUCCUCCUUGAAGCGGACUUUCUCAGUGACUUGAGCUUCAGCGUGAGUGAGAAGGAAGAGCUUAUAUGCGAGGAUGAGGUGCGGUUGCGGAGUUUCCUCUUAACCUUCCAUUCAACGACCGGACCAAAUAUUUUCAGAAUAUUAUGCCUCUUUUGCAUGGACAUUUGUAAAACAACGGCCGUUGUGGCAGACUCUCCUCCC